rnacentral:lncRNA from 1 species
CCAUCGAUCCCUACAUUCAGCCACCCAGUAGCGGUGCUCCUUGCAUCCAGCUGUGUGAAACGGACGACCUAACAUGGAAGUAAGUCGCUAUCACUCAUAGGCUACCCGAUCGAUGGCACUGGCCCCUGGGCUUGCUGUAUAACCAUGCCCCAUGGUUGCAUGAUGACUAACCCAAGUUGGCCACAUCCCGCAUCCGACAAGUCAUCAUUGUCUCUCCUUCGUUCUUUCUUUAUAAUAUGUAGAUGGUGAAUCAUCAUCUGUGCCGCCAUUAUUUUUUGCAGUUGUUUUGUUCGUACCUUUGAAAGCGAUGAGGUCCAGAAUGGAACAAAUACAACAAGGAAGAUACUUUGCUAGAGACAAAACAUGUGCACUUCAGUUCUGUUGAGAGAGAUGUAAGACGGCUACACAUCUAUUUGGGGUAACUUUCUUUUGUUAACAUGAAUUUAGUUAAUUUUUAGCAGAUUUGUUCAUAGGCUUUGAGGCCGCAACUAACAGACUGAAGUCCUUGCUGAAUUAUGCAUCUUGUGGGAAGUAGCGAGAGUGUGAGACUAUGAUUUCGCCAUGGUGGGGUCACCUAACAAAUCUGCAUCCCAGGUAUAGUUUCUGAUCCUGAUGUCUGAAAAUAUAUUUCUAUAGUUCUUAAUACAGUAAUACUUAACGACAUUUGUAUGGAAUGAAUGUUGUUGUGACUAAAUUCCGUGUGCAAGAUCUAUCAGUUAGCGUGCUAGAAUAAAAGCUCUGAAUGAUCUAACUUCUGCAACUACCAAAUGUUGUUUCUGCACAUAGGUCUUGGAUUUCCCCUAUUGAUAUUGUACAUGCAAUUGACUUCAAAUAUUUCAGUAAAAUCUCAUGAUGACUUCGAUGUAUAGACUUGUGCGAUAUGUGUGCAUCAAUUAUUUUGACCCAAAACAUUAUUCCACAGAGCACAAGAUAUUACAUUAUCCAGUCUAUCCAGUGGUGUACAGCUGAUCUGCUUGUUGAUCUUUAUUUUCUAGAGUUUUUUGUUAUGAACUCUUUCGUGAAUGAUGGGGUUAUAGUCCUAGGGUAGGGUCAUAAGCCUGCCUUAUAGGUCCUACCCAAGGACUACCCUUCAUAAGGGACAAGGCCCUUAGUCAGCUCCGACUGAACUAAGGAGUUCCCAUCAUCCAGUCGGUAACAGACCUCCGACCAUCCAGUCGAAGGCGAGCAUUCGGAGCAUAUCGAACGGACCGACUGGAUUUCACUCUGUACAUCGUAACCCCCCAGGGGGGAAACGGUCGUACGUUUCCUCACGCUUUUAUUAGCAUUUAGGCCGUACGUUACCUGUAACGUAGGCAUUUAUUCGCCAUUAUUCCACCCCUGUGCACCAACCGUUGUGAAGGGCAGUGCACUCUAUAUAAGCCACCCUUCCCCACUGGUGCAAGGGUUAGCAACUCAUUGUAUUCUAUAUUCCGCUCGACAACAAGCUCCCAGAGCACUGAGACAUAGGGCUAUUACCUCCACUGCAGAGGGCCUGAACUCAUACAACCUCGCCGUAGCUAAGGCUCUGCCCAUCCUUUUCGUACCCUACACAUCUACUGUCAGGCUUAUACCCACGAUAGUUGGCGCCCACCUUGGGGCAGGCGUCUAAGCGACUUCCGGCGAGUUUGCAACUACUUCCUUUCGUCAUGUCGUCCGGUGGAGGUUCGAGCAUGGGUCACCAGAUAUUCUUCGGCGCUCUCUCCUUCAUCGUCGAUGAUUUGGCGUGGCUUCGGGAUGCUCCUCUCGACGUCGAGGCGCUUCCUCGUCGUGGGGCUACGCACUUCCGUGCCGGCGCCCGCGGCAUUCUUCUUCUCCAACAGUCGGCUCCGGUGUCGACCUGCGCCGCCGCCACAUGCCGCAACAAGCGGUCUCGCCGUCCGCGGCUCCAGCGUUGGGUCCAACACGCCCAGGCGCGCAAGAACGCGUCUUCACAAGUGGCGGUUCUAGAGUCCGUUGUGGUUGCCCUGCUGUCCCAGCACUCGGACUCGGUUCCGACUGAGUUUCCUUCCGAGUAUGCGGGUCGCGGGCCCGCAGCAGAAGUACACAUGGCCAACUCCCAUGAAGAUCCCCGUCAAGCUGGUCGGAACGAGCGCGAGGUCGGCGAAACGUCCGGCGCGCGCCGUCCACCUCGCCGUUCUACCAGUCGGCACACCCGGCGGAGCAACGUGGAGUUGUUCCGCACACCCCUCCUCAACUUGGCUGCGGCUGCCAAGAUAGCCGAUUUCCUCCAGCCGACUGAUUCAGAGGCUGGUAGAGCGAUCGAGCAGAUCCGAGCCCUGUUGCACACGGCGCAGCAGCAGAAUUCGGCAGUCUCCCAGUCGCACAACAGGAUCCAUAAUAGUUCUGUUCAUGCGAAUACGCAUCGGUCGGUUCACAGCCCUGGUUCCCAUCAACGGCACAGGGGAGGCAGCCGUUCCAUAAAUCACGAAGAUCGCCGCCGUUCACGCACCCCUCCGCGGUGUGGGCCCUAUGGGUCCUGACAUCAUGAUGAUCGGCGUUCAGUCGGCGACACUUACGACCCAAGGCCCGACGGAAGAGGGUGUAUCGCCCAGCGAAGGGUCGACAGGGGCCGAGCCCACCGCGAUGGUCACGAUAUGGACCGUCCGAGUGGAAGCAGGACCAUCGUGUCUGGUCCCGAGUGUUUUAGUCGAGCCAUCCGUUCGGCUGACAUCCCGCCCAACUUCCGAUUGGCGACGGGAAUCAGCAAGUUUACAGGAGAGUCCAAGCCGGAAACAUGGCUAGAUGACUACCGAGUGGCAGUCCAGAUCGGAGGAGGGGACGACCAUGUCGCCAUGAAGCACCUCCCUCUGAUGCUCGACGGCUCGGCGCGAGCGUGGCUGAAUCAGUUGGCCCCCUCAAGCAUCUACAGUUGGGCAGAUCUAGCCCGAGUGUUCAUCAAGACCUUCGAAGGGACGUGCAAGCGCUCUGCGGGCCUCGUGGAGCUCCAGCAUUGCGUCCAGAAGCAGAAUGAGCCCCUGCGUGACUUCAUUCAGCGUUGGACAACUCUCUACCACACGGUGGAGAACGUCACCGAGCAUCAAGCAGUCUGCGCCUUCAAGGCAGGCGUACGGUACAGAGAUCUGUACCUAAAGUUCGGCCGAACAGGUGACAUCUCCAUGAGCAAGAUGAUGGAGAUAGCAGCUCGCUAGGCAAAUGGCGAAGAAGAGGACCGCAUCCGAAGCGGCAAGCACAAGACAGUCGGCGAUGGAGAUGGAAGCAACACUCGGAAGCAAAAGCAAAAAGCUCCAUCCACUCCGCAGGCAGAAGCUACAGUCGUGACCAAUGCCAAGUUCAAGGGCAAAGGGAAGGCGCAGUUUACCCCCAAGAAGAAGGAGUUCAAUAAUCCCAUCCUGGACCAGCCAUGUCCGGUUCAUAUGAAGAUGGACGAAGAGGGCAACCCCAUAUAUCCAAAGCAUACCACUUGACAGUGUCGCCUCCUGAUCCAGGGGUUCGGCGAAGGGCAACCGAGUGAGAAGGUCAAUGAACAGGAUGAGGAGGAUAAGGAGGAUCCGUUCCCCCAAGUCCAUGCGACACUCAUGAUUUUUGCUGACGUUGAGAGCAAGAGUCAACUGAAGCUGGUGAACAGGGAGGUGAACAUGGCCACCCCUACCAGCCCCAAGUUCCUCAAAUGGUCUCAGACUGCGAUCACCUUUGACCAGUCGGAUCAUCCAGCACACGUGCCCACACCAGGAAGACAAGCUCUGGUCGUCAACCCGGUGGUAGAAGGAGUCCGACUGCGCAAAGUCCUCAUGGACGGCGGCAGCGGUUUGAACAUCAUGUACGCUGACACUCUCAAGGGGAUGGGCAUUCCGAUGUCCAAACUCAGCGAGAGCAGCAUGCAGUUCCAUGGAGUCGUCCCUGGACGGAAGGCCAAGUCACUCGGCUAGAUCGCGUUGGACGUCGUUUUCGGCUCCGACAAGAACUUUCGCAAGGAAAAGCUCACGUUUGAGGUGGUGGAUUUCCAGAGCGCUUACCAUGCAAUACUGGGCCACCCAGCGUAUGUGAGUUUCAUGACCCGUCCAUGUUACGUAUACUUGAAGCUGAAGAUGCCAGGCCCGAAAGGCGUGAUCACCAUCACGGGCAAUCGACAGCGAGCCGAAGAGUGUUUGCAGCAGGGAUCAAGAAUCGCCGACCAGCAGAUGGCCGUCCUCGAGCUCGACGAGUACAAGAAAACAGUUGACCCCGCCGACCUGAUGCGCUCAAAGAAGCCAGCUUCAGAGUCCGCAUUCCAGUCGGCGGGAGAGACGAAGAAGGUCAGGAUUCACCCGACGGACGACACUGCUGCCCCGACAAACAUCUCCACCACCCUCGAUCCUAAAUAGGAAGCCGAGCUCACCCAAUUCCUCCGUGAGAAGUGGGACAUCUUUGCAUGGAAACCCUCUGACAUGCCAGGUGUGCCCAGGGAGUUGGCUGAGCACCGACUGCAUGUGGACCCCGUCGCUCGGCCCGUCCGAGAGCGCCUGCGCCGGUCUGCCGCGCACAAGAGGAAAGCAAUCGGGGAGGAGGUGGCCAAGCUGCUGGGAGCCAACUUCAUUCGCGAGGUUCACCACUCCGAGUGGCUCGCCAAUGUUGUCAUGGUGACCAAGAAGGACAAGUCGCUCCGAAUGUGCAUCGACUUCAAGCAUCUCAAUAAGGUCUGCCGGAAGGACCAUUUUCCGCUCCCCCGCAUAGAUCAAAUUGUCGAUUCGACUGCGGGUUGCGAGCGUUUGUCAUUUCUUGAUGCCUACUCGGGCUAUCAUCAGAUCCGUCUAUAUGGCCCCGAUGAAUUAAAGACAGCCUUUAUCACCCCAUUCGGGUGCUUCUGCUACAUCACUAUGCCAUUUGGUUUGAAGAAUGCAGGAGCUACCUUUAUGCGCAUGAUCCAAAAAUGCCUUCUCGACCAGAUCGGUCGGAAUGUGGAGGCAUAUAUGGAUGAUAUCGUAGUCAAGUCACGCAAAGGUUCCGACCUGCUGACUAACUUGGCAGAAACACUCGCCAACCUUCGUACGUACGAUAUCAAGCUCAACCCCACCAAAUGUUCAUUCGGCGUUCCCAGCGGAAAGUUAGUCCGUUUCUUCGUUUCCGAACGAGGAAUCGAUGUCAACCCCGAAAAGAUCGGGCCAUCGUCCGAAUGGAGAGGCCGAUCAAAAUACACGAUGUUCAACGGCUCACAGGUUGCCUAGCGGCUUUGAGCAGGUUCAUCAGUCGACUCGGCGAGAAAGCACUUCCUCUGUACCGACUCAUGAAGAAAUCAGAUACUUUCGAGUGGACAGACGAAGCCCAAGUCGCAUUCGACGACCUGAAAGUCCUACUUUCCACCCAGCCGGUUCUUACUGCUCCGCUCAGUAAAGAUCCCCUUCUUCUGUAUAUCACGGCUACAAAUCAAGUCGUCGGUACUGUUCUUACAGUCGAACGAGAAGAAGAAGGCAAAGCAUACAAAGUUCAACGGCCAGUGUACUACGUCUCCGAGGUCCUGACUCCUUCCAAGCAGAGGUAUCCCCACUAUCAAAAGCUUAUCUACGGGAUUUACAUGACUGCGAAGAAGGUGGCCCAUUAUUUCCAACACCACUCGGUGUCUGUCGUUUCUGAUGCUCCGUUGUCGGAAAUUCUCCACAAUCGAGACGCGUCAGGCCGAGUGGCAAAGUGGGCAAUGGAGAUGCUGUACUGCGAUAUCAAGUUCGAGGCCAAGAAAGCUAUUAAGUCUCAAGCUCUGGCUGAUUUCAUAGCAGAAUGGGUAGAACAACAGCAACCGACCCACAUCUACUCGGCCCAUUGGACAAUGUUCUUCGAUGGGUCCAAGAUGUUGAAUGGCUCCGGUGCUGGCGUUGUGAUCAUCUCGCCAAAGGGCGACAAACUCAAGUACGUGCUACAGAUACACUUCGGUUCCUCCAACAACGAGGCAGAGUAAGAAGCUCUCCUCUACGGAUUGCGCAUGGCCAUCUCACUCGAUGUCCGUCGCCUGAUGGUUUACGGCGAUCCGGAUUUGGUGGUCAAUCAAGUGAUGAAAGAGUGGGAUGUCAGGAACCCCACCAUGACCACAUAUUGCAAUGCAGUGAGGAAGCUUGAGAAGAAGUUCGAAGGUCUAGAACUUCAUCAUGUUCCGAGACUGAAGAGCCAAGCAGCUGAUGAGUUGGCAAAACUCGGAUCCACUCGGAGACCAGUCCCAAGUGACGUCUGCCUCGAGCACCUUCACCUCCCCUCAGUCAAAGAAGAUCCUUUUACAGAGGAACUAGUACAACCAAAGAGUUCAACAGAUCCGACUGAAGUCGAUGUUCCUGCUGUGGUUGAUCUGGUCAUGGAGAUUCUUGCUGUCAUCCCCGAUUGGACUGUGCCGAUCAUUGCAUAUAUCGUGGGACAGGAACUACUAGAAGACGAAGUCCAGGCCAGGCAGAUAGUCCGCAGGUCGAAGUCAUUCACUGUCAUUGAUGGCCAAUUGUACAAGGAGAGCGUUUCAGGCGUUCUUCAACGAUGCAUCUCCCUAGAGGAGGGGCAGCUGAUCCUGGAGGAUAUUCAUUCGGGAACCUGCGGUCAUCACGCCUCUUCGAGAGCAAUCGUUGCCAAGGCGUUCAGGGCUGGUUUCUUCUGGCUACAGGCAAACGAGAUGGCUAAAGAUAUGGUUGACCGAUGUGAGGGCUGCCAGUUCUACUCCAACAAAUCCCACAAGCCAACAUCCGCGUUCAGGACAAUCCCUCUGGUGUGGCCGUUUGCAGUAUGGGGAUUAGAUACAGUCGGUCCAUUUAGGACAGGCCAAGGGGCAUACACACAUCUGUUGGUGGUAGUCGACAAGUUCACGAAAUGGAUCGAAGCCAAGCCCAUCAAGAAGCUCGACGCUUCAACAGCCGUCAAGUUUGUCAGGGACAUCAUCUCCAGAUUCGGUGUACCUCACAGCAUAAUCACGGACAACGGGACAAACUUUGACUCGGACAGAUUCAAAGGUUUCCGUGCAAGCCAAGGUAUCCGAGUGGAUUUUGAUUCCGUAGCACAUCCUCAAUCCAAUGGACAAGCAGAGCGGGCGAAUGGGCUUAUUCUGCAAGGUUUGAAGCCCCGACUCCUGCAAGAGGUGGGACAUGCCGCUGGCGCAUGGGUCACCGAGCUACCUUCAGUGCUUUGGGGUCUCCGCACAACCCCGAACAGAUCUACAGGGCGAUCACCGUUCUUCCUCUUUUAUGGAGCAGAAGCGGUCCUUCCAAGUGACUUGCUUCACAAUGCGCCACGAGUCGAACUCUUCUCCGAAGCUGAAGAAGAACAAGCAAGGCAAGAUAGAGUGGAUCUUCUGGAGGAGGAGCGCGAGAUGGCACUGACUCGCUCAACCAUAUAUCAACAAGAUCUUCGGCGCUUUCAUGCACGCCACGUCAGGAGUCGCACGUUCCAAGCAGGCGACCUGGUGCUCCGAGUGGAUCAGCAAAGACCCCACAAGUUGGCUCCUGCCUGGGAAGGACCCUUCAUCAUCUCCAAAGUGCUGAACAACGGAGCAUACAGACUCUACAACAUCGACAGGGAGAUAGAUGAGCCGCGAGCAUGGAACGGAGAUCUCCUGAAGUGCUUCUACACGUGACCGUCAACUGAAGCAAUGUAAAGAACAAGUAUUGAUGAAAUAAUAUAAAGCAGAGUGAGCUUUUGCAGAUUCAAAAUUCGUCCGCGGUCGCAAACUCUGGUCUCAAAAAAAAACUUAGCUGCGAUCCAGAAUCGCCUAAGUUCUAAAUUUCUCCGAGUGUGCACUAAACGUCGCACUCGGAGACUUAGCUGCGAUCAAGAAUCGCCUAAGUACUAACUUUCUUUGAGUGCACUCAACGACGCACUCGGGGACUUAGUUGUGAUCAAGAAUCACCUAAGGAAUAACUUUCUCCGAGUGUGCACUAAACGUCGCACUCGGCGACUUAGCUGUGACCAAGAGUCACCUAAGUAAUAACUUUCUCUGAGUGUGCACUAAACGUCGCACUCGGGGACUUAGCUGCGAUCAAGAAUCGCCUAACUAGUAACUUUCUUCGAGUGUGCACUUCACGUCACACUCGAGAACUUAGAUGCGAUCAAGAAUCGCCUAAGUAUUCUAUUGCCUUCGAGUGUACCCUACAGAUCCACUCGGAGACUCCGCAAGACCCUCACAGAGGCUCAUGCAGAUGUCAAGACAACUGACACUUACAUGCUACGCAUGUUUGCCAUUGGCUUCACCAAGAAACGCCAAACAGAAAACUCGACGCAAAAUUGCGACACAAGAGCAAACGAUUUGAUUCAGAUUCAAAAGUUCAACCAAAGAUAGUUCACUCGGUGCGGAUCAAGCUUACCCGCACCGAUCCAAGAAUGUGACAGCCAACAGCAGUGGCCAAAGUUCCUUACAGAUCAACACUCGGCAUACUGAGGAUAAAGAAUUCUUACGCAUCAUCUGGAUUAGCGCCAGGACUGGAAGGCUCUACGAACGUGUCCAGAUCGAUACCGUCGGCGAUGCGGGUGGCACUCUCAAGGAAAGUUUCCAUGAAGUCUUCGAAUCGAAGUUUCUUCGUGUUGGCGACCUUCAGUGUUUUCAGCUUCUCCUUGCGCACCUCCUUGCAAUGAACUCGGACCAGGGACAGAGCAACAUCUGCACCACAACGAGCUGCAGAUUUCUUCCAUGACUGCACUUGGUUCGGGAUCUCCUCCAGUCGAGUCAACAAAUUUUCCAUCUCCUGCCGCGACUCAUCUUCUGGCCAAAGCUCCUUGUCAAUUCGGCCGACGACUUCUCUCAGUCGACCGAUGAAAGGGCCAACUUUGCCCACGCGGAUGUGCGCUUGGAGCAGAUCUCGAUUGGCGUCCUCGCCGAGUGGAACGUUCUCGAGAAUCGACCGCUCCAUGUCAGCUGCUUCAGCUUCAGCAUCAAUGCAAAAAUCUGCAACACAAGGACACGCAGACAAUAAGCGCCGAGUGUGACGCACAUACCACAAGCACUUAGAAAAAUCAGGACUUACGAGCCAGACGCGUCAUCCUCUGCCGAGCCCAGUCGCUGACGUAUUUCUCCUGCGCUAUGCACCGUCUGUUCAGCACGUCCAUCUGUCCCAUCAGAGCAGUCCUCUCUUUCCCUAUCUUCUCCACUUACUCAGUCAGCACUUUGUUCGCUUCACGAGCCUGCUCCAAUGACUUCUCUCGUCCCGCCAGAGCAUCCUUCAUGCCAGCCAUUGCAAGCAGCGCCGCAUGAAGCUCACCAGCUAACUGAUUCCUCUCCGCCCUGAGAGUCUCAUAGGCUGUCCCCAUUUCACAAGUUUUCUGCCAGCCAACACCAAGAGACAAUCAGAAAAUUCAACAAUAAAAGUCUAAGUUCUUCAGACCCCUGCCGACGCAAGCAGUCGACAGCGGUCUCGGGGACUACACCCAGUGGGUUCACUAAGAGUAACCCCACUGGCAUGCAACUCAAGCAGGCCCGCCCUAUUGAGAUACAUGUUACCACCUACGCCUACGAGGCUAAUACUACCGGACCUGAGUACAAAUUACUCUCGGGGACUCUUACAGUAAGUGCACCCCGAGUGCCACAACUGUUCGCAGUCGGUCAUAUUAUUUACAGACCUGACCAAAACAAAGACAAUAUGUAUAAAGACAACUUCCGGUGCAAGCACUCGACAGAAGUCUCAGGGACUACACCCACUGGGUUCACUCAGAGUGAACCCAUUGCAAACAUCAUAUGCUAUCCGAGAACACCCAGUGGGUUACAAGAGAAAAGUAAAGACUUACUAGCCCACUUACUCAGAUAUCAUCCCGCAGCUCCAAGCUCCGCUGGUACAAAGAUGCAACGGAGUCGUAUGCCUUCUUGGCUUCUCCCGCCAUUAGCUCCGCCUGCACCAUGGCUCCCUUGGCCGCUCCAACCUGCUCCUCCGAGAGACGCUGGAUGUUGAACUCGACAUUCGACGAGCCUGGAAUCGUUGGAAAUUCCUGGGGCAUCCCAAGGCCCGCUCCAGUCGGUUCUUCAGCCACCAGCGCCGGUUCAGUCGGCGGCAUUGCCUUAGUCGGCAGCACGUCUGCGGCGAGAGCAGUGACAGGCGGAGCAGCCUCAAGAACAGGCUCCGCAGCUUGUUCAGCUCUCCCCUGUUCACCCUCGUCCACGCAAAUCGCCCCUGAUAGACCGAACGGCGCGGGAUCUCAGAAAAAGAAAGAGGCAAGGCCUAAGAUAGAAUUCAUGACGCGAUAAUAUAAAACUCUCGGGGUCACUACAACGCACCUGGCUGGGACGAGACGACAUUGUCCGUGUCCAUGGGGUCAUCCUCCUGGCGGGACGGAGAGGUGGCGGAGGUAGCAACUCUGUCGAGUGAAAUCCAUUCGACCAAUAAACAUGAGUCCAAUCGGAUAUUAGAAGAAAUUAGAAGAUUAUGGCACUUACGUGGAGGUGACGGGAACAGUAACCCUCAUCCGCGGCAAAGCCUUCCGAGGUUUAGAUCCACUCGGUUUGGCCGCCUUGGAAGACUGACCCGCAGGCUCAGCAGCAACAUCCCUGGCCCUCUUAGUGCUCCGAGCACUCGGGACCACGGGGGCAGUGGAUGAAGCACUCGAGGAUGCCGGAGGGACCGAGGGAACAGUAGGCUCGUGUCGGCGCUUGGUCCGAUGCUCUAACUGCGGAGGCGGCGAGUCCUGCUCUUCGUCUUCCUCCUCUUCCUCGCUAGUCUCUUCCUCCGAUUCCCCGCUGUCGGAGACAUACUCAGCGCUCUCCAUGCUGCCUUCCUCCUCCUCCUCGGCCGGGUUCCCGUUCGAGACGGGAGAAAACCAGUUGGUCCACUUCUGCAUAAAAUUCAGUCGGCGACAUCAGACGUCACCCAGAGAUUCAAGCAAACGAUAAGAUUAAGACAGUUACGCGCACUCGACAAAUGUUACUCACCUGAUUCGGAGGAGGAUUAUCCGCGCAAAAAGGCUUCACUAGCCGGGAUCCUUUGGGAUUCUCGCAGGGGCUUGUGAUCUGGAGCACCCACGAGGUCACCUUCUCCUCAGUCACGCGCACAACGAUGGUCCGAGUGGAAUCCUCGGGCCCUGUAUAAUGCCACAUGGCGUGGUCGCGAGCCUGCAGGGGUUGGAUGCGCCGAUCGAGGAAGACCUCCAGCAAGUCUAUGCCUGUGACCCCCCUUCUGACAACAUCUACGAGUGCCUCGACCAGAGGCUGGAUGUCGUUCUUCUCCGCCUUCGUGAGCGCGAGCUGCUUAGGCGGAGCGGGCCGAUCUAAGCUAAAGGGAGGCAGCCCUGUCGCGGCAUUCGGACAGGCAACGUCCUGGCAGUAGAACCACGUCGACUGCCAGUUCCUGACCGAUUCACUUAGCUGAAGGGCAGGAUAACUACUCCGACUCUUUUUCUGGAAACCUAAGCCCCCGCAGAGCUGGAGAAGAUGUGUCUUAUCAUCCGACUGGCUAAGUCGUUUGAUGGUUUGGUAUCUAGCAGAGAAUAUGUGCUUGAACAGCCCCCAAUGGGGAGGAUAGCCAAUGAAACAAUUGCACAGAACUAUGAAAGCAGAGAAAUGAGCAAUAGCGUUCGGGGGAAAGUGGUGAAGCUGUGCCCCGAAGUGAUUCAUAAUGCCCUUGAAGAAAGGAUGCGGGGGCAAGGAGAAACCUCGAUAGACAUGGCUGAGCAGCAGGACGCGCUCCCCCUCCCGGGGCGCCGGCUCGACCUCGCUCUCCGCCGGCAGCCUCCAAGACUUGUGCACGAUCAUCCCGUGCUCCACCAGCUGUAGUAGAUCCCUCUCCGUCACCGUGGAGGGGAGGAAGUCGCCUUGAAUCCACCCCGCCGGCAGCGGCCGCUGCCGCCGCUGAGCAGGAGCCGCCGCCUUCCCCUUCUUCUUCCUCGCCUCCAUCUUGCUGGUCUGACCCUUGGUCAUGGCGGAAGCUGCGAAUCCGCGGGAGGGACAAGGAGGAAGGAGUGUAGAGGCGCUGGAGGUGGCGAGAAGGACGGAGCAAGCGAAGGCAAGAGAUUCGGCGAGCGUAAUGAAAAACCCUCGCCGCCGAGAUUUAAGUAAGGUUCCGACUGGGACGCUGGCAGGUGGCCCCGAAACCUUAUCCCCUGACCAACCGCGGCGAUAUUAGUGGAGAGGUUGAAGGCGCGAGAAUCGAGGCGUCAGGCGCUACUCGAGCGCGAUGGCGUCAUCCCCGCUGAGCGCGCGGAAACCGAAAUUUGAGUAUCCCGGAAAAUCCGCCGCUGUCAGUUGACCGGUCACGUCAGAAGAUACCGCAGAAGUACUCGAUUUCUGACAGUUUGUUUCACAAGUACUUCCACUCGGAUCGUCGAUCGGAAAAGAUAAAAUGGACCGAGGCAAGCAACGCCAAAGUCACGUCCGUGCCAGUCGGAUCCAAACCUCAAGCAUCACUUCGUCGUUCCAACCUCAAUCCAUUCGGGGACUAAUGAUGGGGUUAUAGUCCUAGGGUAGGGUCAUAAGCAUGCCUUAUAGGUCCUACCCAAGGACUACCCUUCAUAAGGGACAAGGCCCUUAGUUAGCUCCGACUGAACUAAGGAGUUCCCGUCAUCCAGUCGGUAACAGACCUCCGACCAUCCAGUCGAAGGCGAGCAUUCGGAGCGUAUCGACGACCGACUGGAUUUCACUCUGUACAUCGUAACCCCCCAGGGGGGAAACGGUCGUACGUUUCCUCACGCUUUUAUUAGGAUUUAGGCCGUACGUUACCUGUAACGUAGGCAUUUAUUCGCCAUUAUUCCACCCCUGUGCACCAACCGUUGUGAAGGGCAGCGCACUCUAUAUAAGCCACCCUUCCCCACUGGUGCAAGGGUUAGCAACUCGUUGUAUUCUAUAUUCCACUCGACAACAAGCUCCCAGAGCACUGAGACGUAGGGCUAUUACCUCCACUGCAGAGGGGUCUGAACUCAUACAACCUCGUCGUAGCUAAGGCUCUGCCCAUCCUUUUCGUACUCUACACAUCUACUGUCAGGCUUAUACCCACGACAAUGAAUUUGGAGUGUUUUUUUUAUUUCUAGAACUUCUUACUAACUCUUUUCGAUUGUAUAGUAGGUUGUGAAGAAUCGGAGAUUCUGAUUUGAAAGAAGAAACAAUCAUCAAACAUGUAUAUAUAUAUUGCUACUGUAGUAUUUGUACCUUGCAAAAAAAAGAAAGCUAAUAAUUUUGAUAUAAACUAUGACAUUGUGGUUUACAAAUAAAUAAAAUGUUUCAUGUGUA